rnacentral:rRNA from 1 species
AUUGAACGCUGGCGGCAGGCUUAACACAUGCAAGUCGAACGAGUGGCGGACGGGUGAGUAAUGCUUGGGAAUCUGGCUGAUGGAGGGGGAUAACUACGGGAAACUGUAGCUAAUACCGCAUACCAUAGGAUGAGCCCAGGUGGGAUUAGGUAGUUGGUGGGGUAACGGCUCACCAAGCCGACGAUCUCUAGCUGGUCUGAGAGGAUGACCAGCCACACUGGGACUGAGACACGGCCCAGACUCCUACGGGAGGCAGCAGUGGGGAAUAGUGCGCAAUGGGCGCAACCUGAUGCAGCCAUGCCGCGUGAAUGAAGAAGGCCUUCGGGUUGUAAAGUUCUUUCGGUAGCGAGGCGUUAACUACAGAAGAAGCACCGGCUAACUCCGUGCCAGCCGCCGCGGUAAUUC